GCGGCUCCCAGACAGCUCGCGCGCCACCGCAAGCCAGGCCCUGGCCACGGCCCUCCAGCAGCCGACGGCGGCGCGUCACUCCCGCGUACUGAAAAAGCAACUGAUCGACGGCAGUUUCAUCCCGAGGCCCAGUAGGCGGAGUAUUCAGUGUCAGCGGGCAGAGAUUGGAGAGACGGGCCGCAGCCGCGCAUAACUGGCGCUGUUUCAUCGACGGCUGGAAGGUAUCGACAGGCGCCACUCGAGGCCGACAGCUGGAAGCGAGUGUCCAGAGAGAGGGAGACGGGUAUUGGAGAUAAGGGCGGCCCGGAAAGAAUAGCGAGGGCAUC